GAUGAACGCUGGCGGCGUGCCUAAUACAUGCAAGUCGAGCGACCGGACGAGAAGCUUGCUUCUCUGAUGUUAGCGGCGGACGGGUGAGUAACACGUGGAUAACCUACCUAUAAGACUUGGAUAACUUCGGGAAACCGUAGCUAAUACCGGAUAAUAUUUUGAACCGCAUGGUUCAAAAGUGAAAGACGGUCUUGCUGUCACUUAUAGAUGGAUCCGCGCUGCAUUAGAUAGUUGGUAAGGUAACGGCUUACCAAGGCAACGAUGCAUAGCCGACCUGAGAGGGUGAUCGGCCACACUGGAACUGAGACACGGUACAGACUCCUACGGGAGGCAGCAGUAGGGAAUCUUCCGCAAUGGGCGAAAGCCUGACGGAGCAACGCCGCGUGAGUGAUGAAGGUCUUCGGAUCGUAAAACUCUGUUAUUAGGGAAGAACAUAUGUGUAAGUAACUGUGCACAUCUUGACGGUACCUAAUCAGAAAGCCACGGCUAACUACGUG
rnacentral:rRNA from 1 species